UACGGAGGGUGCUAGCGUUGUUCGGAAUUACUGGGCGUAAAGGGCGCGUAGGCGGCCGUUUGCGUCGGAUGUGAAAGCCCGGGGCUCAACCUCGGAACGGCAUUCGAUACGGGACGGCUGGAGACCGGGAGAGGAGAGUGGAAUAGCCAGUGUAGAGGUGAAAUUCGUAGAUAUUGGCUGGAACACCGGUGGCGAAAGCGGCUCUCUGGCCCGGUUCUGACGCUGAGGCGCGAAAGCUAGGGGAGCAAACAGG
rnacentral:rRNA from 1 species